UAAAUCGCAUAGGAGAUCUCGUCAAGGAAUAUCGCAAAUCAGGUGAGCCUUGAUGUGGGGACUUGGGCCGGAGAGGAUUCAGAGUGGCCACGGUGAUCAUCUUUGGGCUUUUAAAUAAGUGUUGGUUUUCAUUUAAUUUCCUUUAAUUAUUAUUUAUUUUUGGGUUGUAAUAAGGCCAAUUUUAACUUUCCUUUUAUUUCUUUUCGGAAUUAUUUUAAUUUUAAUAACUUUAAAAAUUGGUUAAUAA